UUUCAUGGCAGGACAUGUAUUUCUGGUUGAGCUGGGUCAAGUGCAUGAAAGAUUGCCAUCAAGAGAGCUCACUUUUCAUUGUUUCAUUUCCCUUUUCAGAACCUGGUCUCUUGCACUGAAUGUAUGGAAAGAGAGGGGAAGCCCAUUGCUUUGGGUAUGGCAGUGGGAGAGAGUUAUACUCUGAGCCUGAUGUUAGUACCAGCUGAUAGCUACACCCCACACACUUUCACCUCCUCCUGCUGAUACCUCUAAUGCCUUUGGUUUAUUCUGUAUAAUAAACCCUCACUUUGCUCUUUCCUAGGCCCUGUGUCCUUCAUGCUCUGCCUACCAUUUGUGUUUGCUUCCCUGUAUAACACGUGUCUUUGCCUCCCCUGGAUAAUCAUAUAAAACUGUCUUCUCUUUCCCACAGGAGCAACAAGAUGCACCAAAAUAGAAUGAGCUUUGCAGUCAGACCAGCAGCUCUGCCUCAUCACCGUUUGGAGAUACCUUUAAAGGACAGCGGUGCAAGUAUGUACCUGUCAGAAUUGCCUCCCCUUCCAUCAAGUCUCAGGAUGCGCCUCCUUCCAAACCUUGAACUGGACACGGUGGAUGCAGAUGAACCACCAGCAAAGGCCUCAGGAAGCAGUGGAAUGUCAACAGACAAAAGAGGAUGCAGAAGGCAGCAGAGCCUCAGAAUCAUAUUUUCAUCAUCGACAAUGGAACAUGACAUAUGCUGAGCCAGUCUCUGAUUUAAGCGUUCAGUAAAAGGAAAUUCUGCAUGAAGAGUUAUCUGCAAAAAAUAUUCCUACGAUUUUAAAAGCUGGCUUUAGGAUGAAAGAAAAUUUGAACUCCUCAGGGAAUAUGCUGCCUAACUCAUGGAAGGCUCAGGUGUGGGAAACGCUGGCUUGACUAAGAUAUCCUGAAAUACAACAGAGGUAAGAAAGAACCACACAUUGUGAGGAUCAUUGAGGAAUUUCAUCCCAGGGAUGCAAAGGGUGUGAAACAUCACCAAUUGGAUUCUCUCUUAUCUAAUCUCUGCUUAGACAGUUCAUUCUCUUUUGGACCAUUGUUUUAGAACGUUCUUCCUCAUACUGACCUAAACUCUGCCUCCCUGUCACCUUGCUCCUUGCUCUUCCUCUAAACCCCCUGCAGGCUCCUUCUAUUUAUCAGUUUUUGGAGACAUUCAGACACUGCCUCUCCCUUCUCCACUCCUGGGUUCUUUUCUUCUCUGCGCCAGGCACACCCAGGUCUUCACAACUGUUCCAUAUACAAUCUUUCUUCUCUCUCCUGGCCUUCCUUCUUUAGACCAACUACAAUUUGCCUAGAGAAAUGUUUUCCCUCAAAUAGAAAGAACAUGAUACUCCAGGUGAAAUGAACACAUCUCUUAUUCUAAAAAGUAGAUAUUUAACAUCUAGGAAGUCUAAACAUUGAUAUUUAAAAACAGCAAAAAGAGUAGGAUUUCACUGAUCAUUAGACAACUUUAGAAUUUUCUUCAAGACCUUAAGAUACAAUACCAAAUAAGUAAAAGUGGUAAAUUUCAAAUGUACGUAGACAUAUGUGUGCAUGCAGGGUGGUCCACUUGAUGGAGGGUCCUUAUAAACCGCAUUAGGUCCAGAAGCUUCCAAAAUGCCUUGAGUUCAAUUUAUGAGGUAGGCUUUCUUUAGGGGUCUACAAUGCAUAAAUAACUAUUGAUUAGCUUCCUAGAGACGGGUUUUUAGUAGAACUCUGAACAAGGGCAUUAGAGAAAUGCCCCCAAUGGGGUCAUUUUUGUUGACCUGGGACUACAUAAAAAUGGGAGUAUUGAAUGCUUAAUGUCACAUUUUAUUGCUUGGUUCAGCUAAUUUGUCUUGUGGGAAGCAAAUGUUUUUGAAAGCAUUCCAAAGCCUUUGUAGUGUUAAAGCUCAUUACCUUGAAUUUCAUGUGAGCCAAAAAAUAUACAACUAACUAAGUGCUCUGAACCUCCACAAAAUUUCAUGACUAGACAGAAGCAAAGCUGUGAGUAUCAUGUCCUGCAAAACUAAGAUGAAUUUAGCAAUUUGCAUCCUUAUUAGUAACAUGCAAUAUAAUAAAUUUGGGGGGAUUCCUUUGUUAUUGUUUUCUUUAAAGUGCUAAAGAUAAGUUAAUGAACAGAUUAAAGAACACAUAGAAUAUAUCUUCUUUAGUGAAAUUAUAUUAAUUUUCUGUUAAUCCUUAACUCUGGAUCCCAGUAUACAAACCUGGAAAAAGACUGUGUGCAUUUUACCUAGACAGAGUACUUUUACAGACCAGAAUAUAUUUUCAGUUACUACAAUAGGACUUGUUCUGUGCCAGGAUCUUUCAUAUACGUAACUCAAUUCUAACUCUUGAGGAAUUGUUUAUCCCACUUACAGAUAAAGAAACUGAGGCCCCAAUGUCAUUAUUUUGAUAAAUAAAAUUUCAGUGGUUCAUAAGAGCCAGGAGAAUUUUAUUGCUCCACGUGGUCCUCAAAAUACUCACAAUCUGAUCCUAAUCUACCUUCCUAGACCUGUUUCCCACUCCUGUCUGCCCUGAGCUAACAUCCAUUGUCAA